AUAAGAAAAUGCAAUUGUUGCUGUAAAAAAUAUAAUUAAAUAUGUGUCACAAAUAAGAAAAGCAACGGAAAUUAAUAUGCAUAAUAUGGGAUAUCGCUUAAAUGCCAACAAGCUGCACCUAACCAAACCCAACUGCAAAGAUUCUUUUCUGUCGCAGCAAGAUUAAGAGAAACAAAAAAAACAAAAAUAACGGCACAAGUCUUGAUGAAAAAAAAAAUAUAGCAAAGCGCAAAGCAGAAGAAGAAUAAAGCAGCUGCUUGCGGCGCAUUGCUGCUGCGCCACAUAUAUACGAAAAAUCGAUAGUUGAAGCCGCAGCAGCAGCAGUCGUCGCAGCAGUCGACGUCGACGUCAGCGGUUAGCGUCAGCAGACGAAAACGCUUAUUAAAUGACAGCUAAAAAUAGACAAAACAACAACAACAACAGGAAGAACGGAUACAACAAAAGUUUCAACUAUUAAAGCAAAGCAACUAACUACACGUGGCAACAAUGGUCGACGCAAAGCCACCGCCCACACGCACGCCCACGCCGGGCACACCGCCGGCUGCAUUUGCCGGCGAGAGAUCGAAAAUAAAAUUAUUUAUGGAACGGACGCCGAGCAUCGGUGCGCUAAAGUCCAAAUUUUUGACAGUGUUGGGCAACAGCAAUGAGCUGUUCAAUGGCAUAUCAAACAAGUUAACGUUGAGCAGCAGCAGCAGCGAUUCAGAUUAUUGCGACGACGAUGACGAGGAUUUGCCCAAGUAUGACGAGACUAUUGACUAUACGAAAAUCGAUUUUGAGGCGCGUCGCGUGAAGGCGCGCCGUGCGCAUGAGGAGAUCAUCUCGGGUCGCUUCAGACAACCCAAUUUGGCGCCGCGUCCACGCUUGGAGCUCUCGCGCACGCGUCACACCAACAAGCUGGGCGGCCCGCUGCGCUCCAGUUCGCCGUCCUCGUCCAGCAGCGGCGGCAGCAGCAGCGAUGACAGCAGCUCCGCGUCACUGCCGGAGCCAACGGCAGCCGCACGUUCGCACGAUGUGAGCAGCACCACGCACUCGAAUUCUCUGGAGUUUGAGUCGCGCCACUCGGGUGGCUAUGAGCGACCCCGAGCCAUUGCGGGCGCUCGACGCAGCGAGCUGGACAUGCAAAAGGAUAUGCAGCGCAUUAGUGAGAUGCUUGAGGCCACGACCAUGCCUCCACUAAUUGAUGUGCAGCCGCCCACAGAAGGCGGCGGCGGCGGCGGUGGCAGCUUGAUGACGCGCCAGCCCUGGGGCGCGAACAGCUCAAUGCGAGUUGUGCCCACACGCAGUCGCACCUCGAACAGCAGCACGUUGACCAGCCUGCGGGAUGAGCCUGAUCAGCUGCAGGCCAGCCCCAGCAUGGAGUCCAGCGAUUGGCGCAACUUUAUACGCUCCGAAUCGCAAAAUUCGGUGCCCUCAUGGGCAUCCUCCAUAAGCUUGGAUUGUCGUGCCGGCGAGGAGCCCGUUAAGGAAUUCAUGAAGCAUUUCACCCAGCUGCUCUUUAGCAAUUCGGCAGCUGUCAAUCUGGAGCUUAAGUCCGAGCUUGGUGUGCUACUGCGCCUGGAGAUGGGCCGCCUGUGGUUCACCAGAUUUCUCAGCGAGCAGCGCAACAAAUCGAAGCGCCUGGAAACCUUAACAUUCAAUGCACUUGCCCAAUACUUUGCCCUGGCGCUAUUCGAAUGCGGCGAGUGCGAGGAUCAUGCGCCAGCGGCGGUGCUUAUGAAUCUCUGUUUCUUGUUCUAUCACGAAGUUGAAGUUCCUGGCUGUGAUCCUUAUCGCGAGUAUCUGUUCAUAUCGCUGCGCCAGCAGCCGCUGUGGCAGCAGCCGCGCUUCUGGAACGCCAUCUUCCAGGAUGCCAUGCAGGCUGAGCGUGAGCAUCGGCUCAGCUCGCAGCUGCGCCGCCAGCAGCGCCGUCAGGCAAAGCAGCAGCAGCGCCUUGCAGCCGGAGCAGCAGCCGCAGCUGCAGCAGGAACAGCUCCAGAGUCGGUGGUGCCCGAUGCUCGCAAGAACGGCGUUGAUUCCUCCUCAAGCUCCUCGCACCAGGGCAGCGCACCGGCGGCGACGUUGGCAACAGCCAAACGCAAAUCUAGCAAAUGCAGCUUGGGCCAGCCGCAAUCGGCCAAGGAGCAGGACGAUAUUGCAUUUCGGCAAUUGAGUGCCUUCACGUGCAACAUGCACUCGCUGGGCACCAGCCAGGAAUUGUGUCUCGAUUUUCUAAAGAAACAUGUUGUGGCGCUCAAUCUAUCCAAGGGGCAUAAAGAACAUUCGCUGUAGGGUAAUAAGAUUCUGUCCACCGAACAGAACCGUAUAUACCCUACCAAAUGGAAGCAUGUCAUGGAAGAAUGUCAACAGAGAAGCGUAUAUACCCUGCCAAAUGCACGCACAAAUGCUACCAACACAGAAGCGUAUAUACCCUACAAUAUAUAUAAAUGCAUAUGGCAACAGAGAAGCUUAUAUACCCUACAGUUGGCACUUACAACUGCUAACAGAGAAGCUUAUAUACCCUACCAUUUUGUGCAGACAAGUUGGGCAAUUAUUGGAAUAAGUCUUCAGUCCAGCGACAUGGAGAUACGCGCGUGACACAAUUUCGUUUAAUUGAACUGGAAGACACUGACUAUGCUCCGUGUAAGUGUAUAGGUUACAAUAUUCGCCUCCAAAGAUGAGUUGUCCAAGGCAGCGAGUGCACAUCCCGCAGACAGCCAAGCAUAUAGUAGGAUCUGAUCUGGCAGGAUCUGGCCUAGAUCAAAGUCAGGAGCUGCAUUCUCCAGGGUAGGGAUACAUUUAGGCAACGAGGCUCAGGCAAAACGCAUUAACUAUUCAUCAUGUUGUCACAAUCACAAGUGGGAACUAACAGCGGCAGCCUGCUGUUGCCGAAUUCACUACUGGGAUGAAACGAACGGAAAACAUCGUUGCGAGGGCGCAAAGUGGACAGCAAAAAUCAGCGCGCAGAAAGCAAUAAUAGUUCAUGCACAUGUGUAUAUUUAUGUAUGUAUGUAUUGGUCUGCAUAAACUGGCUUGUGAAUUUGUUUCCUCAUGCGUUGUCUACUUAUUAAUGUGUGUCUGCUUAAACGUUAUCUUCAAAUUGAUCGCACUCCAUCAAAAUUUGUUGUUGCUCGUCGCUCCUAACAAGAAUUUAUCUUAUUACCGUUUGCUUGAUCUCUUUUAUGUGUGUCGUUUCUUCGUCCGUUAUUUACAUGCAUGCAUGUAUGUAUGUAUGUGCGCAUAUGUAGAUAAUGCACAAGCACGCGCUUACACACGCUUACACACAUAUGUACAUACAUAUGUUCGCUCAAAUUGGACAGUCUUCUCUCAUUCUGUGUUAGUUUUAUUCCAGAAGUCAAUUUGAUGCGUUGUUUUGUUGAGAAUUAAAGUCGUUUGAAGCUAUUGCAAAAUAUAAUUGGAAUGUCUCGGUCAAAUACCGUCCAAUUGGCGAUUUGUUUACCUUCUCGGACGCAUGCCUCCAGCUGGGGAACAGCAUUGCUCGGUUCUCUUUCGUAUCGCGUGGGCUUGGACAGCGAUUGAAUACUUAACCGAUCCCAUUGCUUAUUUUCCAUAUUGCAACACAUAAAUAUGCUCGAUAAAGACAAGGCGAGCCGGGAUCAACUCCUUUGUGCUAGUCUGCCAGAGAGGUCGGUGCAAUUAUGUGGUCGGAAUUAAAAAGGGGUUUCUGCUCUAUCUCGCCCGUCUGCCGCUGCCAUUAGGAUGAGGACAUGGCUUGUGGAUAUCCUUUGCCGACAACUCUGCACCUGCUGCUGCCGAUGCCACGCCCUACAGAUUUCUGGUAUUCACAGCUCCAAAUUGAAGGAUUUAAGGACUCUAAUCGAUUCUAAGGACUUUUACGAAUCUAACGAGGCUAUUCCUUCCAGGAUCGGAUAUGUUUUAAGCCAAAUAUGGACAUUUUAAGUUAAAAUCGAAAAUAUAUGUGAAAAACAA